rnacentral:misc_RNA from 1 species
CCUCGCUCCGUCGGCACGGCGUCGAGCGAGCGCUGGGCCGCCCUCCACCCCACACCCCUGUGAACCUUGCGGAGCUUGCAGUACCCCUUCCCGGGUGGAUGACGCACGGUCGUCGGGGGAGGCUCGCUUCCGCCACACACACUCAGUUAACGAACGUCACGGUCCUCAGCGGCCUUUGAUAAACAAUACAACUUUCAACAACGGAUCUCUUGGCUCUCGCAUCGAUGAAGAACGCAGCGAAAUGCGAUAAGUAAUGUGAAUUGCAGAAUUCAGUGAAUCAUCGAAUCUUUGAACGCACCUUGCGCCCUUUGGUAUUCCGAUGGGCAUGCCCGUUCGAGUGUCUUGAAAUCAUCACCCCUCGGAUUCGCGUCCUUGGGUGUGGACUUGGGGGCUUGCUGCCGCAGGGCGGCUCCCCUUAAAAGGAUCGGUUGGGCCCGCAGCGGCUCCGUCCCGGCGUUGUAAUGCAACCGCCUCAAAGGACGAGCCCCGCCUCAGUGCCCUCCCCCGACCCGCCUUUGGAGUGGCGGUCUAUCUUUUGAAAUCUGACCUCGAAUCGGGU